rnacentral:rRNA from 1 species
GACGAACGCUGGCGGCGUGCCUAAUACAUGCAAGUCGAACGAAGCUGUUUUAACUGGUCCUUGCACCGACUUAAACAACUGAGUGGCGAACGGGUGAGUAACACGUGGGUAACCUGCCCCAAAGCGGGGGAUAACAUCUGGAAACAGAUGCUAAUACCGCAUAACCACAGAAACCACAUGGUUUCUGUGUCAAAGAUGGUUUCGGCUAUUACUUUGGGAUGGACCCGCGGGGUAUUAGCUAGUUGGUAAGGUAAUGGCUUACCAAGGCAAUGAUACGUAGCUGAACUGAGCGGUUGAACGGCCACAUUGGGACUGAGACACGGCCCAAACUCCUACGGGGGGCAGCAGUAGGGAAUCUUCCACAAUGGACGAAAGUCUGAUGGAGCAACGCCGCGUGAGUGAAGAAGGUUUUCGGAUCGUAAAACUCUGUUGUCAGAGAAGAACGUGUGCGAGAGUAACUGCUCGUGCAGUGACGGUAUCUGGCCAGAAAGCCACGGCUAACUACGUGCCAGCCGCCGCGGUAA